UCCCUGCCUGCCCGCGUGUUGGGGGAGCCGGGGCGCUGGGAAGAGGAUUUGCCUGUUGAAUUUCAUCGCUGGUAGACGUUAAUCUCGUGUUUUAAAGUACCUUGUCAGUGGCUUUAAGGAAAUCAAACGUGACAUUAAUCAAAUCACACAAAUGUAAACAUUUAUAAGUUAAAUCCUAAUAUUAUGCAAUUAUUUAAAUCGAGCCGUGGUUUUUCCUAAAUGUCAUGUUGUAGCUCCCACUCUCUUCCUCACAUGCUUUGAGUUUUCUGCUGGAUCCCGGUGUCUUGGUGUCUGCUCCAUGGUGUUCUGAGCGUGGGGACAGGAAUGCACUGGGCUGCAGGUGGCAAAGGACUGUAGCGCAAAUAUCUCCUGGUCACCUAACCAGGCCCAUCAAGGUUAAAAAGAAGAAUGCUUUUGUGAAUUUGAGGACAAAAUCCUCAAAUACCUUGCAUUGGUACAGUUCUCCCUGUGGGUAUGUGAAGCGAGUGAUCCCGUGUACAAUCUCGAGAAGGAUGCUUGGGUGGCUGGAAUGUGGGCAGAGGUUCCUUUGCACCCUCAGUGGGAUUUUUAGGCGAGGUGAUAUGUGGAAGACCCAUUACAUUGCGAGUCGGGAACGAGGGAUAGGGGACAGGCGGACUUCGACGGCAGGCACAGCACGAAGGCGAGUGUGGGGAAAGGCGAAGAUGGCAGGCGGGAUACGGUGGGAAACGGCCGGCGCUGCGGGCAGUUGGCCUCUCCCCGUCUUCGCCCUUCGUCCCGGCCCUUCCCGUUCGCCUCUCCCGGCGGGGAAGAGGGGAUUUGGGGGUCAGGGAGGAGAACAAUGCUGAGCCGCCCUUUGUGCGCAGCACCGUCCCCUGAAGGGAGGGAGCGCGCAGUGCAGCGGGGCCGCGGCGCCUCUGUAGUGCUGCUGCUCUCCUGCGGGCAGUGCUCGCGGCAUGCGGGGCAGGAGCCCGGGGCAGCGGGAUCAGGGCUCCCAUAGGCCGCCCGCCCGACCCCGGGAUAGGCUCAGGAGCGGGGCUGGCGCCGCGCCAGCCGGGCAGCCCCGCUCGCCAUGCGGGGGCGGGAGAGCUCGGGGGCGAGCGAGUGGCUGCGAGAGUAAACUCGUGGGUGCCCUCGGCAGCGCGGCGCGGGCACGGGGGAUUCCAAGGGUGAGCGGGGGUCUCCCGUCAGCGGGGCGGGCUCCGGGCAGGCUGCCCUAGGGAACGGAGCGGCGCGCGAGCCCGCAGGAAGCGGCGGCGGGGCUGGAGGAAGCACGGCCGGGGCUCCCCCUGCUCCCGGCGCUCCCCAUUGUUCCCCGGCCGCCUCUUUUCGCGCCGCUUUCCGCCGGCGGGGAGGAGGGAGAGCCCCGAGCCCCGCACGCUGUGUGCUCGCAGGCAGCGGCGCGGGGGACCCGCCGGGAAAUCGGGUUCAUGAGUAGAGAGGAGCCUUUAGAAGUGCCAUCCACUGAGGGAGCUCCGUGAGGCUGUAGCUCACGUGUUACUUGGAAGUUGCAUCUGUUUAGCUGCAGCAUGUAUCCUUUUGCACAUAGGUAAAGAUCACAGCUUUCUCAACAAAGACCCAAUCUGAAAAUGGAGUAAAAAAUACUGUGAGAAGUUUGCUUUCUGGAAGGAAGUGAGUUUUCCUGCUCUACAGCUCCAGGUCCCAGUAUCAGUUUAUGUUUUCUAAUAUAGUAUGCUUUUCAUAUGAAGUCUAUGCUUUUUCUGUUAUUUUUGGAAGAUUCUUCUGAUGAUUAUAUACAACUGGUCAUGUGGCUUUGUAAAUUAAAGACUUUUUCUUGUUCAAUGCUUUGUUUUAUUCGCUAAAAUUACAAUAUGAUUUUUCACAUUUUAAGGAAAAAAGAUGACAUUUAAACCAAGAGUUCAAAAAUCUUAGUUUUACUGUUGCAACUGAUUAUUUUUGUAGUAAAAAUUUGUGGCUCCAUCUUUAUUUUUGUUUAUGAAACUGAAGUGCUAUUCACUCAUAUAUGCUUAUGUUUUUUUGAGGAAUGCCUUAAACUUUUAAAAACAAUUUGCAAUUGGAGAGUGUAAUUUUCUUUAACUUACACAUUCACUCCAUUUGUGAAAGUAUCUAAGAAAAAUUGAAACACAGGAUCUUCUUCUAAGUUCUAGUCUAACUUGUUUAGCUCCUAGAUUUUGUAGGUUCCUUUAAGCAAAUUGGAUUUUCUCCUUGCAUUUAGAUUAACAAUAAAAUUAUUCAUUCUUACUCUCUGAA